AUUGAACGCUGGCGGCAGGCCUAACAUAUGCAAGUCGAACGAGUGGCGGAUGGGUGAGUAAUGUCUGGGAAACUGCCCGAUGGAGGGGGAUAACUACUGGAAACGGUCGCUAAUACCGCAUACCAUCGGAUGUGCCCAGAUGGGAUUAGCUAGUAGGUGGGGUAAGUGUUCACCUAGGCGACGUACCCUAUCUGGUCUGAGAGGAUUACGGGCCACACGGUAACUGAGACACGGUCCAUACUCCUACGGGAGGCAGCAGUGGGGAAUAUUACACAAUGGAGGCAAGCCUGAUGCAGCCAUUCCGCGUGUAUGGAGAAGGUCUUCGGGUUGUAAAGGACGUUCAGCGAGGAGUCGUUACUCGCAGAGGAAGCACCGGCUAUCUCCGUGACAGCCGCCGCGGUAAUUC
rnacentral:rRNA from 1 species